AGCAGCUUGCUGCUUCGCUGACGAGUGGCGGACGGGUGAGUAAUGUCUGGGAAACUGCCUGAUGGAGGGGGAUAACUACUGGAAACGGUAGCUAAUACCGCAUAACGUCGCAAGACCAAAGAGGGGGACCUUCGGGCCUCUUGCCAUCGGAUGUGCCCAGAUGGGAUUAGCUAGUAGGUGGGGUAACGGCUCACCUAGGCGACGAUCCCUAGCUGGUCUGAGAGGAUGACCAGCCACACUGGAACUGAGACACGGUCCAGACUCCUACGGGAGGCAGCAGUGGGGAAUAUUGCACAAUGGGCGCAAGCCUGAUGCAGCCAUGCCGCGUGUAUGAAGAAGGCCUUCGGGUUGUAAAGUACUUUCAGCGGGGAGGAAGGGAGUAAAGUUAAUACCUUUGCUCAUUGACGUUACCCGCAGAAGAAGCACCGGCUAACUCCGUGCCAGCAGCCGCGGUAAUACGGAGGGUGCAAGCGUUAAUCGGAAUUACUGGGCGUAAAGCGCACGCAGGCGGUUUGUUAAGUCAGAUGUGAAAUCCCCGGGCUCAACCUGGGAACUGCAUCUGAUACUGGCAAGCUUGAGUCUCGUAGAGGGGGGUAGAAUUCCAGGUGUAGCGGUGAAAUGCGUAGAGAUCUGGAGGAAUACCGGUGGCG
rnacentral:rRNA from 1 species